GUUCACAUAUACAAUCAUCAUCCAAAUUCCAAGUCACAUAUAUCCAAAUUACUUCAAAAUAUAAAUAAUAUUUCAAUAAUAAUUCAACAAAUACUACUUACGUAUCUUCUGCUCCAAAAUUUCACAUCCAUUGAUAAGCUCAAUCAACCAAAUUACUUUUAUUGAUACUGCUGUGGAUAGACUAUGGGGAACCUUCCUUAAUAAUC
rnacentral:lncRNA from 1 species